UGGCGGCGCGUUUAAGCAUGCAAGUCGAGCGGCAAGGGCCUUCGGGCCCCUAGAGCGGCGGACGGGUGAGUAACACGUGGACAAGUCUGCCCCCCGGCCCGGGAUAGCCCAGGGAAACCUGGAUUAAUACCGGAUGAGACGGGACCCGCGAUGGCGGGACCCGGGAAAGGCGCUGCGGCGCCGCCGGGGGAUGAGUCUGCGUCCCAUUAGCUAGACGCGGGGUAACGGCCCACCGUGGCGACGAUGGGUAGCCGGCCUGAGAGGGUGGACGGCCACAUUGGAACUGAGACACGGUCCAGACUCCUACGGGAGGCAGCAGCUAAGAAUCUUCCGCAAUGGGCGAAAGCCCGACGGAGCGAACCGCCGCGUGAACGAAGAAGGCCGUGAGGUUGUAAAGUUCUUUUCGGGAGGGGGGAACAACCGUGGCAGGGAAUGGCCGCGGGAUGACGUGAAUCCCGGAAUAAGCCCCGGCUAACUACGUGCCAGCCGCCGC
rnacentral:rRNA from 1 species